GACAGAGGGUGCAAACGUUGUUCGGAAUUACUGGGCGUAAAGCGCGUGUAGGCGGCCCUGCAAGUCGGAUGUGAAAUCCCACGGCUCAACCGUGGAAGUGCAUUCGAAACUGCAGGGCUAGAGUCCUGGAGAGGAAGGUGGAAUGCUUGGUGUAGAGGUGAAAUUCGUAGAUAUCAAGCGGAACACCGGUGGCGAAGGCGGCCUCUGGACCAUUACUGACGCUGAGGCGCGAAAGCUAGGGGAGCAAACGGGAUUAGAUACC
rnacentral:rRNA from 1 species